UGCCUACGGGACGCAGCAGUGGGGAAUAUUGGGCAAUGGACGCAAGUCUGGCCCAGCAACGCCGCGUGAAGGAAGAAGGCUUUCGGGUUGUAAACUUCUUUUAAGGGGGAAGAGUAGAAGACGGUACCCCUUGAAUAAGCCACGGCUAACUACGUGCCAGCAGCCGCGGUAAUACGUAGGUGGCAAGUGUUGUCCGGAUUUACUGGGUGUAAAGGGCGUGCAGCCGGAGAGACAAGUCAGAUGUGAAAUCCGCGGGCUCAACCCGCGAACUGCAUUUGAAACUGUUUCCCUUGAGUAUCGGAGAG
rnacentral:rRNA from 1 species